rnacentral:lncRNA from 1 species
ACUAAUAUUGACUCUUAAGAAAACUAGUAGAGGAGUCUUCAGAUAUAUUUUUGUGUUUUGUAAUUUCUAUAUAUUUAGUAUUUAGUAAUAAUAUAUUUAGAUAUAUAUAUAUAUAGAUAAUUAAAGGACUAGACUUAUAUUGGAUUUGAGCCUAAUAAAGUCCAAACUUGGCUCAUAUUUAAUUCGGGUUAAUUUUUAGGUACAAUCUCAAACCGUCUCACUAAAAGAUUGGACUCAUCGGACUUUUUAUUGAGCCGAAAGAGCCAAGAUUGGGUUAGCCCAACCCCAUUAACAGUCCUAAUAAUAGCCUUUGCCGGUCAUCUUCUCUCAAUUGGGCCCCAAAAACAUGGACAAAGAUGUUUGUGUUGAGUUGUACUUCUAACCAGCAUUUUUAAAUUUGGACUGGACUUGCCGAUCUGAUCGAUUGAACCGAGAACUGCUAGAACCAGAAAGAUCCCAAUUUUCUUCUUGUUUCCUUUCCGAUGCCGAUGGUACUUCAUCCUUGCUUCUUCAUAUUGGCUACUUCUUCCCCCCUUUUUUUUUCUAUCUUUUGAUCUUUGACCAGCUCCAAGAGAAACGAAGUAACAACCCAGAUCAAGAGAAAAAAAUUCAUUCCCUAAAAUUUCUAACUUGAUUUCCUACAACUUAGUUCUUGAAAUAUUUGAAAUCAAAUAGGAGGAAAAAAAAAAGAAUAGAGCAAAGAAGGGAGGAGAAGAGAGAGGAGGGAAAAAGGAAAAUAACAAAGAUAAAGAGAGUUUUCACGUGUGUUUGAUUUGUGGGGAAAAAGGACAAGAAAAGAGUUAUGGUGCAUGGAAGGAAGAAGAAGGAACCAGGAUAAAAUGAAAAGUAAAGGAACUCGGGCGGCGGCUAACAUCUAGUUAGUUUAGGUUGUUCCAAAAUUUUUCUAAUAAUUUCAUUUUGACCCCAUAUUAUUUUAAGAAGUAUAAAAUCCACGCAUUAU